rnacentral:rRNA from 1 species
AGAUGGCGACCGGCGCACGGGUGAGUAACACGUAUCCAACCUGCCGAUAACUCGGGGAUAGCCUUUCGAAAGAAAGAUUAAUACCCGAUGGUAUAAUCAGACCGCAUGGUCUUGUUAUUAAAGAAUUUCGGUUAUCGAUGGGGAUGCGUUCCAUUAGGCAGUUGGUGAGGUAACGGCUCACCAAACCUUCGAUGGAUGGGGGUUCUGAGAGGAAGGUCCCCCACAUUGGAACUGAGACACGGUCCAA